CAGGCCUCCUCCUAGAUCACACCGAUGUCACUGAACAAGCACAGAGAGAGUUAAAGAAAAGAAAUAUGAUGGAAGAAUGUAGAUCUGGAAGCCUGCAGGUACCUGCAUCGUUUCAAUUACCUCAUGACUCAGAAAUCAGCAAUGUCAGUGCUGCACUGGAUGAAAGAUGCAAGGUUCGGUCAGAAGCCCAGAAACUCCCUGUACCUUUUAUACACACACAGAUCACAGCUUCAUCCAGAGGUGGGAGUGGGAGUCUUCUCUGCAGGCCUCCCAUUCUGUGGACCAGCAUGAACUUCUGAAAUUUCCUGUAUAUUCAGUUCCUUUAUUGGCAAUUGUGUCUGUAGCAUGGCCCAAGCAGAGGGUCACCCCUUUCAGUCUGGUCUGCUUGAGGUUUUUCCUCAAAUCAGA